UACGUAGGGAGCAAGCGUUGUCCGGAAUCAUUGGGCGUAAAGCGCGCGUAGGCGGCCCCGUAAGUCCGCUGUGAAAGUCAAAGGCUCAACCUUUGAAAGCCGGUGGAUACUGUGGGGCUAGAGUCCGGAAGAGGCGAGUGGAAUUCCUGGUGUAGCGGUGAAAUGCGCAGAUAUCAGGAGGAACACCGGUGGCGAAGGCGGGUCUCUGGGCCGAUACUGACGCUGAGGAGCGAAAGCGUGGGGAGCAAACAGG
rnacentral:rRNA from 1 species